AAGAAGCGCAUGCGCGUCGUGUCGCUUCGAGCUCUGACUCUCGCCGCGCAUGCGUAUUCCGCUUCCCGCUUUUUACCUCAGCCUGAAGCGCUUCCCGCCCAAACUGGAAUGGCUUCUUUUACCUCAGACCGACGUGACCCGAUCAAACAGUUUUAACGUAUUUUUUUUAGUAUUUAUCUUCCAUUCCACGCCAUAAGAUUUCAAGGCAGGUAGUCCUUGGCCAGAAAACAUCGACAACUUAUGCUCACCUAAAGAAUGCUAUUUAGGCAUCACUAGCAUUGGAAGGAGGAAUUAUGACAUCCCAAACCACUGGCCAGAGCUGGUUCUGAGUAUUUGUGGAAAUGGUGGAGUCUCUCUUUUCCAAAAACCAUGGGCUCAGAAGUGCUGUAGAUUUCGGAUUAACUUCAGAUUUGGAAUACCCGUGUUUGUAUUUGCAUACAUGUACAUGGGAUAUUUUGGAGAUGAGGCCCAAGACUAAAACAUAAAACUCAUUGAUGCAUCUUAUACGCAUCACCUGAAGGUCGUAAAGUUCGGACUGCAUCCUGGUAUGGACCCGGCGGGCCCCCUCCCCGUGGCCCCGCUCACCCCUUCUUGGGCUCCUCGUCCUUGCUCUGCUUCCACUCCACCUUGCUCUUGCGGUACAGAAGGUUCAUCUCGUU